UACAGAGGGGGCAAGCGUUGUUCGGAAUUACUGGGCGUAAAGGGCGCGUAGGCGGCCUGCUAAGUCGAUCGUGAAAUCCCCGGGCUCAACCCGGGAACUGCGACCGAUACUGGUUGGCUUGAAUUCGGGAGAGGGAUGCGGAAUUCCAGGUGUAGCGGUGAAAUGCGUAGAUAUCUGGAGGAACACCGGUGGCGAAGGCGACAUCCUGGACCGGCAUUGACGCUGAGGCGCGAAAGCCAGGGGAGCAAACGGG
rnacentral:rRNA from 1 species